rnacentral:rRNA from 1 species
UACGUAGGGGGCUAGCGUUGUCCGGAUUUAUUGGGCGUAAAGAGCGUGUAGGCGGCCAGGUAGGUCCGUUGUGAAAACUCGAGGCUCAACCUCGAGACGUCGGCGGAAACCCUCUGGCUAGAGUCCGGAAGAGGAGAGUGGAAUUCCUGGUGUAGCGGUGAAAUGCGCAGAUAUCAGGAAGAACCACCCGUAGGCGAAAGCGGCGCCGCUGGACCACUACUGACGCUGAAGGAAGCGAAAGCUAGGGGAGCAAAACAGG